GAUGAACGCUGGCGGUAUGCUUUACACAUGCAAGUCGUACGAGAGUUUUUAACUCUAGUGGCGGACGGGUGAGUAACACGUAAGAAUUUGCCUUUAGGAGGGGGAUAACAACUGGAAACGGUUGCUAAUACCCCAUAUGCUUUCGAGUGAAAUGGAUUUCCGCCUAAAGAGAAGCUUGCGGCUGAUUAGCUUGUUGGUGAGGUAAUGGCUCACCAAGGCGACGAUCAGUAUCUGGUUUGAGAGGACGAUCAGACACACUGGAACUGAGACACGGUCCAGACUCCUACGGGAGGCAGCAGUGGGGAAUCUUCCGCAAUGGGCGAAAGCCUGACGGAGCAAUACCGCGUGAGGGAUGAAAGCCUAUGGGUUGUAAACCUCUUUUUUCAGGGAGGAACAAAAUGACGUGUACCUGAAGAAUAAGCAUCGGCUAACUCCGUGCCAGCAGCCGCGGUAAGACGGGGGAUGCAAGUGUUAUCCGGAAUCACUGGGCGUAAAGCGUCUGUAGGUGGUUAAGUAAGUCAACUGUUAAAUCUUGAGGCUUAACCUCAAAAUCGCAGUCGAAACUGCUUGACUAGAGUAUAGUAGGGGUAAAGGGAAUUUCCAGUGGAGCGGUGAAAUGCGU
rnacentral:rRNA from 1 species